UACGUAGGGGGCGAGCGUUGUCCGGAAUGAUUGGGCGUAAAGCGCGCGCAGGCGGCGAGGUAAGUUGGGUGUUUAAACCUAGGGCUCAACCUUAGGUCGCAUCCAAAACUGCCUCGCUUGAGUGCAGAAGAGGAAAGUGGAAUUCCACGUGUAGCGGUGAAAUGCGUAGAGAUGUGGAGGAACACCAGUGGCGAAGGCGACUUUCUGGGCUGUAACUGACGCUGAGGCGCGAAAGCGUGGGGAGCAAACAGG
rnacentral:rRNA from 1 species